AGAUGCAGUGUCUACAAAGCCAGAGAAAUCCACAUGGUUACGAAACACAGCGAUCAUAUUGUCUGUGUUUCUGACUCUUGCACUCAUAGGAGUCCUGAUGUGGUACAGGAUGAGAAGCUGUAUCUUGUCUAGAAAUCACAAGGAUGCAAAGGAGGAGGCACAGUAUGACUCAGUGCACAUUGAUGCAGUGCCGUCUGAACACACACAGAAAGAAGAUUGCAAAAAUGAGGAUAUUCAUUAUAGCAGCGUUCAUUUUGUAAAUUUAAAAACAAAGCAGACAUCUUCAGACACCACAAACACCACAGAAAAUGAGGAUGUUCAUUAUAGCAGCGUUCAUUUUGUAAAUUCAAAAACAAAGCAGACAUCUUCAGACACCACAAACACCACAGAAAAUGAAGAUGUUCAGUACGCCACUGUAAUGUUUAGUUAACAGACUGUUGUAAUCAUUGCAUAACUUUGUCAUCGCUAUGUUGCCAUGUUGUGUCAUGAAUCCCAGGCGUGUAUGUUGUAAAGAAG